GCUUAGGAGGCUUUACCCAAAGACGGAAACAUGGAGCACCUCUCAAGUGUUUACAGCAAACACUUCCUUCCUGUGAGGCUGGGGCGCAGUGAGAGGGUUGUAUAAAAUGAGGUCUGAGACCACGCUGGAGAUUUUGAAUUUUAAGAAGCCACUGAAGCAGGGCAGAGCCGUAUCUGAUUUGCAUUUUAAGAUGAUCAUAUAAGAAGACUGAGUUGGCAGCUGUGUAGAGAAUGGAGGGAGGAGCGGGAAGUCAGUGAGGAGAGGCCACACUAGUCCAGGCAUGGGGCCGAGGAGGUGUGGACUGAGCUGGUGGUUGCAAAGAGGAAAAGACUGGAUGGUGUCAAGAUCCAUGAGGCCAGCAGAAGCACCAGGGCUUAGUACUGGAUUACAUGAAAGAGAGGGGAGUCAGGGAUGACUUCUGAAGUCUUUGGCUUGAGCAAUGAGAAAGCGCUGUCACUUAGCCUGCAGCCUGGAUACUUCAGGGAAAGGGGUGGGAAGGGUUUGUAACUGCAGAGAAAAACAGUAGCUGAAAAACAGUGUCUG